rnacentral:rRNA from 1 species
GGAGAUGGCCAUAGUGGACUGAAUGAACCUGAUCUUAGAAGCUAAAUAGUCCCAGGCCUGACAGUACUUGGAUGAGGUAUUUCCUGGGAUACUGGAUGCCGUAGGCA